rnacentral:rRNA from 1 species
AUUGAACGCUGGCGGCAGGCCUAACACAUGCAAGUCGAGCGGAGCGGCGGACGGGUGAGUAAUGCCUAGGAAUCUGCCUGGUAGUGGGGGAUAACGUCCGGAAACGGGCGCUAAUACCGCAUACUAUCAGAUGAGCCUAGGUCGGAUUAGCUAGUUGGUGGGGUAAAGGCAUACCAAGGCGACGAUCCCUAGCUUGUGUGAGAGGAUGAUCAGCCACACGUGGAAUGAUACACGGCCCAGGAUCCUACGGGAGGCAGCAGUGGGGAAUAUUGCACAAUGGGCGCAAGCCGGAUGCAGCCAUGCCGCGUGGAUGAAGAAGGCCUUCGGGUUGUAAAGUACUUUAAGUCGGGAGGCGUUACCGACAGAAGAAGCACCGGCUAACUCCGUGCCAGCCGCCGCGGUAAUUC